rnacentral:rRNA from 1 species
UACGGAGGGUGCAAGCGUUAUCCGGAUUCACUGGGUUUAAAGGGUGCGUAGGUGGGCAGGUAAGUCAGUGGUGAAAUCUCCGGGCUUAACUCGGAAACUGCCAUUGAUACUAUCUGUCUUGAAUACCGUGGAGGUCAGCGGAAUAUGUCAUGUAGCGGUGAAAUGCUUAGAUAUGACAUAGAACACCAAUUGCGAAGGCAGCUGGCUACACGAAUAUUGACACUGAUGCACGAAAGCGUGGGGAGCGAACGGG